UACGUAGGGGGCAAGCGUUGUCCGGAAUCAUUGGGCGUAAAGAGCGUGUAGGCGGUUCGGUAAGUCGGCUGUGAAAGUCCAGGGCUCAACCCUGGGAUGCCGGUCGAUACUGCCGGACUAGAGUUCGGAAGAGGCGAGUGGAAUUCCCGGUGUAGCGGUGAAAUGCGCAGAUAUCGGGAGGAACACCUAUGGCGAAGGCAGCUCGCUGGGCCUUACCUGACGCUGAGGAGCGAAAGCGUGGGGAGCGAACAGG
rnacentral:rRNA from 1 species